UCAAAAAUCCAUGCUCUCCAACGAAAAGAAAAAACCUGACAAUUCAAUCGGCGAUUAUAAAUCGUUUCUACACCCUCUUUCAUCAAUUCAGCCAUUAACUCGUUCAAAACAUAAAACCGACGAUAUGAAUGAAUCCCCUCUCUUAUUCUAUAUAACCCAAUGUCGAUCCAAGUCCAAACUCGCAGGUUCAGUUUCUUUAGCGCAUUUGGUUUCUGUAUUUUUUAACAGGUUCAGUAUGUUAAUUAAUCUUUAGUGCAUAUGAUUCGAUGUUCCGAGGAAAGAGAUAACAGAUAUCCAAAAUCAUCAGGUGGUUUCAUCUGAAGAGCUCAGAGUAAGAAACUCAUCGAACGAGGAGCUCAGUACCCCGAAUGGUCAAUUUGCAACUCGGAGUUGUGACCAAGACUGUGACCUGAGUCUGGUGAGCUAACGUUGGUCAAAGAAAUGCUCUGUGGCCGCAUAUAAAAAUUUAGAUGAAAACGAGAUUGGUUGGAAAAAAAGAGAGGAGGCUUUGAUCCUUAAUUGAUUUCAGUUAAUGCGAACAUUGCUUCAAAGUUCACUGCGAAAAGCACAAGGCAGUGUAGAAGAAGAUGGUGUGUUACGACUAUGAUCCCUUGAAGAAGAUGCACUUCGGUGUGAGGUUAGACAUUUUUAAUCACAUAAGUUUAUAGAGUUGGCACCCGAAGAAGAUGCAUGCUAUACCAGUUUCUUAAGUUCGGAUUUCAUUGAGGUUUGAUUAUCUUUUUCCUGGAUGCAUCAUGUUUGUUGUUAUAUGCACAUCAUCUUGAUAGAUGUCUUAGCUUGGACACACUGAUCUGAGAAGUCUAUUACAGAUGCCUCGACCAAUAAAGAUUAACUUUGUGUAAGUGGGAAGAUCAGUCCACACCAGAAAUUUGAAGUUGCUAGAGUCUAA